GGAGGGGUGGCAGAGUGGUCGAAUGCGGCGGUCUUGAAAACCGUUAUGGCGCGAGCCAUCGGGGGUUCGAAUCCCUCCCCCUCCGCCA
rnacentral:tRNA from 1 species